rnacentral:rRNA from 1 species
CCUACGGGGGACAGCAGUGGGGAAUAUUGGGCAAUGGGCGCAAGCCUGACCCAGCAACGCCGCGUGAAGGAAGAAGGCUUUCGGGUUGUAAACUUCUUUUCUCAGGGACGAAGCAAGUGACGGUACCUGAGGAAUAAGCCACGGCUAACUACGUGCCAGCAGCCGCGGGAAUACGUAGGUGGCAAGCGUUAUCCGGAUUUACUGGGUGUAAAGGGAGUGUAGGCGGGAAAGCAAGUCAGAUGUGAAAACCAUGGGCUCAACCUGUGGCCUGCAUUUGAAACUGUUUUUCUUGAGUACUGGAGAGGCAGACGGAAUUCCUAGUGUAGCGGUGAAAUGCGUAGAUAUUAGGAGGAACACCAGUGGCGAAGGCGGUCUGCUGGACAGCAACUGACGCUGAGGCGCGAAAGCGUGGGGAGCAAACAGGAUUAGAUACCCGGGUAGUC